UUAUACCCACACAAGUUGUCAACAUCCGUUUUCAAACUGUUCAAAGUGUUCUUCACAAUCUCCCUGGAAAAUAUUCACGCUAUCACUUCGUGCUCAGAUAAUAGAACAUUGUAAACCUCUAACAGCAAAUGCGGACCAAAAUUAAUCAAAUUUGAAAGCACGGAUGAUCACGUGUAAUGCCGACUGAUGGAGAAAGAUGUUCACUAUGGAUCAAAAAUUCAAAACAGAGGACUUUUUUAUUCAAACAAAAAUACUUGUACAUGUAUGAUAUUCUGUACAUACAACAAGAAAGCAGUAAUCAAACGGAAUGUCCAGUGAUGUUGAAAGCAAAAUUAUUUUUGUUAACAGAAAACAAUAGGACUACAAUAUAUUAAGGUACACAACACAUCGUGUCAGAAGAAUAAUUUUACUGGAGAAAAAAAAAAUUAAUACCUGGAAUCAGCAAUUUACAAAAUGUAUACGAAAUUUAUUAAGAGAGAUAUAUUCAUGUACAGAAUGGUAACCCCACCAAAUAACUCAGGUGGUUCAAGUGAUUAUUAGCAGACAUUUUUGUUGAACUAAUGCAGGAUUAAAUAAAUGAAGCUUUAGCAGACUAUGGGCUCCAAAGUGUAGUAAAAAGAGGAUUUUUAAAUAUGACAGACUCAUAAACAUUAAAAUGUGCAUAAGUGAAAUGUUACAAUAUUUAGUAAAAAAUUCAGAUUAUUGACUCAGUUGUUUUCAUGAAAUUUUUUAUCAAAGCAAUAUCACUGUUAUAUAAUAAAUAAGAUUCCAUAUGUUUUA